rnacentral:rRNA from 1 species
GAUGAACGCUGGCGGCGUGCCUAAUACAUGCAAGUCGAGCGAACGGACGAGAAGCUUGCUUCUCUGAUGUUAGCGGCGGACGGGUGAGUAACACGUGGAUAACCUACCUAUAAGACUGGGAUAACUUCGGGAAACCGGAGCUAAUACCGGAUGAUAUUUUGAACCGCAUGGUUCAAUAGUGAAAGACGGUUUUGCUGUCACUUAUAGAUGGAUCCGCGCUGCAUUAGCUAGUUGGUAAGGUAACGGCUUACCAAGGCAACGAUGCAUAGCCGACCUGAGAGGGUGAUCGGCCACACUGGAACUGAGACACGGUCCAGACUCCUACGGGAGGCAGCAGUAGGGAAUCUUCCGCAAUGGGCGAAAGCCUGACGGAGCAACGCCGCGUGAGUGAUGAAGGUCUUCGGAUCGUAAAACUCUGUUAUUAGGGAAGAACAUAUGUGUAAGUAACUGUGCACAUCUUGACGAUACCUAAUCAGAAAGCCACGGCUAACUACGUG